GGGCCCGCACAAGCGGUGGAGCAUGUGGUUUAAUUCGAUGAUACGCGAGGAACCUUACCAGGGCUUAAAUGUAAGUUGCAUAGAUCAGAGAUGGUCUUUUCUUCGGACUACUUACAAGGUGCUGCAUGGUUGUCGUCAGCUCGUGCCGUGAGGUGUCAGGUUAAGUCCUAUAACGAGCGCAACCCCCUGUCGUUUAGUUACCAGCAAGUAAUGUUGGGUACUCUAGCGAGACUGCCGGUGCAAAACCGUGAGGAAGGUGGGGAUGACGUCAAAUCAUCACGGCCCUUACGUCCUGGCUACACACGUGCUACAAUGGCCGGUACAGAGAGCAGCCACUACGCGAGUAGGAG
rnacentral:rRNA from 1 species